AGACCGGAGCUUCAGCCCCCCACGGAAGGCUGCUCGCACCCACGCGCCAGCAGCAGAGAGGGUGGAGAAAGAGAAUCCACCACUGGCAGGAUAUGUCCCUACUGGCUUAACCUUAGCCACACAGACCAGGGGUGUCCUGUUUCGAGACGGGGGAUGCCCCAGCACCCAAGGCCCAUGCGUUCAGCUACAGGAAGGGGGUCUGCUCCCACCAGCCAGCCUCCUGGCGGAGUUACCAGUCGUGGUGGGGCCUCCUGGAGGAAGCAGCUGCUGACAGCCCACCCAGACACCAGGCCCUCCCCUGUGGGGUCUGCUCCCCAAAGGCCUGGAAGCCUGGGCUCUCCUGCAGGGGCCCACAGCCUCACGACCACAGGGGCUCUGGCGGGGAGCCCCAGGAGCCGAACGCCGCACUGGCCCUUCUCUCCCACAGCCCUGUCAGACCCUGCUGCCAAGGAAAACUGCAUGAUGCACCUGCUCCGCUCCCUGCCCGACCCCAACCUCAUCACCUUCCUCUUCCUGCUGGAACACUUGGUUGCCGAGAAGGAGCCCAUCAACAAAAUGUCACUUCACAACC
rnacentral:sRNA from 1 species